rnacentral:snRNA from 1 species
GUACUCGCUUCGGCGGUACAUAUACUAAAAUUGGAACGAUACAGAGAAGAUUAGCAUGGGCUCUGCGCAAAGAUGACACGCAAAAUCGUGAAGCGUUCCACAUUUUU